ACAAUAUUUCUAACAAACGAUUCCAGAAUAAACUUCAAAUAUCAACCCCUCUGUUUCGUACUUUCUUACUUUAGUAUUAUAUACUAUAUGAUUUUAUUUUUUUCUUUUCGCCGACCCAUCCGUUAAUUUUUUAUUAAAUUAUAUACAAAAAACUUCAGAUAUUUCAUCUAUAGUUUAUCGAAUAUUUAUUUUAGCAUUCUUUAGUUUUAACUUUGUCACUAAUUUAACAAAAAAAAUUAGUGAAGAAAAUAACAAAAAGAAAAAAAUAAAACCACAAGAUACGAAAAUAAUACACUUUAAAUUAUAUGAUACUAAAGUAAAAAAAAACGAAACUACAGGAAUAAUAUUUAAAGUUUUCCCAACAA
rnacentral:lncRNA from 1 species